rnacentral:rRNA from 1 species
GAUGAACGCUAGCGGCAGGCUUAAUACAUGCAAGUCGAGGGGUAGCAAGAUUGUAGCAAUACAAUUGUUGACGACCGGCAAACGGGUGCGGAACACGUACACAACCUUCCUACAAGUGGGGAAUAGCCCAGAGAAAUUUGGAUUAAUACCCCGUAACAUAGCGAUGUGGCAUCACAUUGCUAUUAUAGCUUCGGCGCUUGUUGAUGGGUGUGCGGCUGAUUAGAUAGUUGGCGGGGUAACGGCCCACCAAGUCUACGAUCAGUAGCUGAUGUGAGAGCAUGAUCAGCCAAACGGGAACUGAGACACGGGCCCGACUCCUACGGGAGGCAGCAGUAAGGAAUAUUGGACAAUGGACGCAAGUCUGAUCCAGCCAUGCCGCGUGAAGGAUUAAGGUCCUCUGGAUUGUAAACUUCUUUUAUAAGGGACGAAAAAAGGUCUUUCUAGAUCGUCUGACGGUACCCUAUGAAUAAGCACCGGCUAACUCCGUGCCAGCCGCCGCAGUAAUAC